rnacentral:rRNA from 1 species
AUUGAACGCUGGCGGCAUGCCUUACACAUGCAAGUCGAACGGCAGCGGGGACUUCGGUCCGCCGGCGAGUGGCGAACGGGUGAGUAAUGUAUCGGAACGUACCUUUCAGUGGGGGAUAACGUAGCGAAAGUUACGCUAAUACCGCAUAUUUUGUGAGCAGGAAAGCAGGGGAUCGCAAGACCCUGCGCUGAUUGAGCGGCCGAUAUCAGAUUAGCUAGUUGGUGGGGUAAAGGCCUACCAAGGCUACGAUCUGUAGCGGGUUUGAGAGGAUGAUCCGCCCCCCUGGGACUGAGACCCGGCCCCGACUCCUACGGGAGGCAGCAGUGGGGAAUUUUGGACAAUGGGGGCAACCCUGAUCCAGCCCUGCCGCGUGAGUGAAGAAGGCCUUCGGGUUGUAAAGCUCUUUCGGCCGGGAAGAAAUCGCAUCAGCUAAUACCUGGUGUGGAUGACGGUACCGGAAUAAGAAGCACCGGCUAACUACGUGCCC